CAGCAGCCGCGGUAAUACGAAGGGGGCUAGCGUUGCUCGGAAUGACUGGGCGUAAAGGGCGCGUAGGCGGCGGCCAAAGUCAGGCGUGAAAUUCCUGGGCUCAACCCGGGGGCUGCGUUUGAUACUUGGUUGCUUGAGUGGGGAAGAGGGUCGUGGAAUUCCCAGUGUAGAGGUGAAAUUCGUAGAUAUUGGGAAGAACACCGGUGGCGAAGGCGGCAACCUGGUCCUUGACUGACGCUGAGGCGCGAAAGCGUGGGGAGCAAACAGGAUUAGAUACCCGCGUAGUCCCUGUCUCUUAUAC
rnacentral:rRNA from 1 species